rnacentral:lncRNA from 1 species
UUUCUCCAGAAAGAACUUAAUUGAAGGGUCUCAUUCCCCUGUGCCUUGGCCAAGAACCAAGAGAGAGACUUUGCUGGGAGAUAGGGUUUGCAUAGCCAGUCUUUGUUGCUGCAUGCCUCAGAGAGUGUGAGCAACUUCCACAUCAAGCCUGGUGUUGGAAGUUGAAGAUUCAUCAUGGCCCAUUAACUCAACAUUUCUUCUGUGCUCAGUAAAGUAAGCAGUGUUCUCUUUCAAUACUUAGGGAUAGCCUGGCUUCAUUGGACUUACUGAGUGAAGCAGUGCAUUUAGUAGGUGGAUCUCCAGCAGGAGGUUCUCACAGAGGGUUCCCAAAGGUAAUUUUGAUCAACUUGAAGCAUCAACCUGGAGUUCAAACAAGCCCUUUAUAACAAAGUUCCUGCUAGUUCCAAAGUUGGGCAGAUGAUGAGGUAAGGAGUGGGACUAAUCUAUGGAUCAGCAUGUCUAUUUUAAGCCUCUAACAACCCUCUCUGAUUUACAGGAUGCCUUCAGAGCCAUGCACCCAAAGCUUGACAUUGUGCAGUUAUUCCUUAAGCCCCUGCUCAUUGGAGAGCUUAUCCCAGAAGAGGCCAUCCAGGAGAGAAACAAAAAUUCCUAGUUGGUGGAAGAUUUCCAAGAAUUGAGGAGGAAAUUAUAGUCUAUGAAUAUUUUCAAUGCCAACCUGUGGUUCUUUUUCCUUCACCUUGCCCAGAUCUUGAUUUUGGAAGCACUGGCUUGGUUAAUACUGUGACAUUUUGGAAAAUGGCUGGCUUAUUACGAUAUUCAUUUCCUUUCUUCUCACAAUUUCUCAGGUUCAGGGUGAAUUUUUACAGGACACCAAUCCAUAUUUAAGAAGUGCAAGUAGAACCACCUGAUGCACGACUUUGUGAUGUGUCAUCUCAAGUAUUGCAAGAAGAAAAUCAAAUACAUCAACUAUGAGAAGCAGCACCUGUUCUUCUACACGGGUGAGUCUCCUUGCAGCCACAUUUCUUCUCAUUCCAUUUCCUUGAAGCAAGCAGUUGUCAAGCCAGAAGGCAGACUGGAACCCAUCAACAGAGACAAGCCACUGUCUUAUUGUGACUGAGAAAAGCAGCAUGUCUUCUUUCAGAAUUCCUGGGGUGAAAAUCUGAAAAGUAAAAUGGAGAAGCAAAU